rnacentral:rRNA from 1 species
GAGGUCACCCAUCCUAGUACUACUCUCGCCCAAGCACGCUUAACUCCGGAGUUAAGCGUGCUUGGGCGAGAGUAGUACUAGGAUGGGUGACCUCCCGGGAAGUCCUCGUGUUGCACCCC